rnacentral:rRNA from 1 species
AGUGAACGCUGGCGGUAGGCCUAACACAUGCAAGUCGAACGGCAGCACAGUAAGAGCUUGCUCUUACGGGUGGCGAGUGGCGGACGGGUGAGGCAUACAUCGGAAUCUACUUUUUCGUGGGGGAUAACGUAGGGAAACUUACGCUAAUACCGCAUACGACCUACGGGUGAAAGCAGGAGAUCUUCGGACCUUGCGCGAUUGAAUGAGCCGAUGUCGGAUUAGCUAGUUGGCGGGGUAAAGGCCCACCAAGGCGACGAUCCGUAGCUGAUCUGAUAGGAUGAUCGGCCACACUGGAACGGAGGCACGGUCCAAGCUCCGACGGGAGGAGCCAGUAGGGAAUAUUCAGCAAGGGGCGAAAGCUGGAGGGUGCAACACCGCGUGAGAGAUAGAGGUCUUCGGAUCGUAAAACUCUGUUAUUAGGGAAGAACAAAUGUGUAAGUAACUAUGCACGUCUUGACGGUACCUAAUCAGAAAGCCAGGGCUAGCUACGUG